rnacentral:rRNA from 1 species
GGAAACCUUGUUACGACUUCUCCUUCCUCUAAAUGAUAAGGUUUAGUGGACUUCUCGCGACGUCGCAGACGGCGAACCACCCACGUCGCCGCGAUCCGAACACUUCACCGGAUCAUUCAAUCGGUAGGAGCGAC